UACUUUACAAUAUGUCAGGAGGAAUAUACUGGUAAUACAGAUAGAUCUAUUUUACUCUUCAUAUUUGCUGUAUAAUGUCUCACAGUAAAGUUGGAUCAGAAUUUAUUCAAUCAUUCUCCUCUUAAUGGUCAUUUAGUUUGUUUCUGGAUGUUUCUGCUUCAAAGUAACUGCUAAUAUAUUAUUCUUGAAUAUAAAAUAAGGGAUGCAGAAGGGGCAGGUGCACAAUGUAUCCCCAUUUUAUAAAUGAUCAAAAUGAAUCUCAGAGAAGUUUAGUAAAUUGCAUAAGGUCAUGUAGCUAGUAAGUAACAGAGUUCAGAAGAGAACUAGUUUAACACAGUUCCACACUGUCUCACCUCAAAUAUUCCUAUUUGAUGUGGAAUAGUUUCACAAAUACAGUGAUCCUUCCUUACAUUACAAUAAGACAAUCUUCUGCUUUCUGAAGUAAAAACCAGGCAACUACGGAUUAAUGUAACGCCAAAGGGGGCAUGAGCUGAGAGAUGUAAAGGAACAUACUAAAAUAUCGAAUAAAAUAAUAAGCUUGGCAAUGUCCCAAAUGCUAAAGAUAAGAUUAAAAUUGGCACCAAUCUUAAAUGCUUAAAUGAUUUAAAAUCAGGAUAAAUAAAACAUGGUGAUGUGGGAGAGAGCUAGAGAGGAUGCCUUGCUGUUUGACUAUUUUGGGGAAAAUGUUACUUGAAAAACUCCCACAUUUGACUUGUAGUCUUCACAGAUGAUACACCCUGAUUAAUACUGAUGAGGCUUUGUUAAGGCAGAAACCCUAUACACAGACUCUAUAACUCUAUCACAUUCUAUUAAGUAAUAUUAAGAUAAUCAAAUCUUCAUUAACUACAAAUGCAUAUAAAAGUCAAUUAUAUUGACUUUAGGUUAUUGUGCUCUUAGAAUAUGUAGUCCGUUUAUAAUAUGAUAAAAUCUCAGUCAUGUGCAGUCCUCUUUCUGGAUAAUAACCACUGGACAAUGACUUCAAAAUGCACAAGGUUCAUUAUGGGAAUACCCUUUUAAUAAUCCAUGUUUCUAAUUCUAGCAGUAUUUGGACUCCACAAAGAGAGGAAACCACUUUUUAAAAUCCCUUAUAUAUGUCUUUCUUGCUGAUCUUGCUACAUUCCCAUCAUUGGGAAAGUAUAAUGAAGGGACUAAAAGGUUGAACUUCAGAAUUUGAUUCUCAGCUGGAUCAUUCAAUGACUUUAGGACUGAGGCAAAUGACUUCUCCAAGUUGAAAUUUCCUCUUGUAAAACAGGAUGAGUGUGUCUGCUUUGUUGGGAAAUAGGUUAAUUUAUUUUGUUGAUGUUUAUUUGAAAAAACCUAAGAGAUGCAAAUGGUAAUAUUUUACUGCAAUGAGAGAAAUGCUAAAAUUAAGAAAUCUGAAGGAUGUAUUGUAACUUUAAAGCAGAGGACAGAAGAAAUGAAGCACCAUAGAUUUUUCUAGAGAUAUCUCUUAGAUAUCACUAAGUCAUCUGUUGUUUACAUCCUGCUUCUGUUUCUGAGUUAUGAUAACUUAUAAGAAGCUUACAAAAAUACUAUUAAAAUCAGUUGGACACAAUGCAACAAUUUAACUCCUAAUGACAGCCACCUCUAACGAUGAAUGACAUAUAAUAAAUGAUUUUCAAACUGGAUUUUCAGUUACAGAUUCUUAUUCUGCCACCCAAACAGCCUUAUAAAGUUGCACUUGUGGCCUUAAUCCCACUUGGAUGUUUGCCCCACUGCCUCUACUUUCUAUCAUUCUGGUGUUUUAGUCUUCUUGAAUAAGUGAACAAUCUUUGUUUCUGUACCUUAUUAGGCCGAAGACCAUAACAGCUAGUGAUGGCAUCAGCAAGCCCUGCGGGCAGGAUUCUCUGCAGACCCAGCCAACCUCCAACAAACCCCUUUUUAUACUCCUGUUUCUAGGAAGAAUUAUGAUGGCGGUGCCCUGCUGUUGAUCAGUCAAAUCUGUGGUGCGUGGCAUUAUGAUAUCAACACUGUGCUUGCUCUUCAGCCCCCCACUGCUGUUCCAAAUAGGAAUGGAAUACUGUACAUUCUAGGCAUUUUUUCUUCACCACUCUAAACUCAGGGUCAAGAGAGUGGCUAUGGCAGAGUGCAAGGCAUGCCAGUUGUUUUGGAAUUCUUGCAGGUGUUUAAAAAGCAAAGGAUUCUUUUCAGAGCCACAUCUGCAUUUGUCAUAUGCCAUUGCGCUAAAGCCUGUGGUGUUUUUGUUUGUUGGUUUGAGAGAUUGACAUGUAAUGGCCAGGACCAUUGGGCGCUGCUCCCAAAAAAGUCAUUCUGAUAGCUGGGAUUCUCUAGAAAUCAACUGGCCUGAAUUACCCAUGAUUUUUCUCUGCCCUUCAAAGGAAAAUGUGUUGUUCUAAGCUUUUUGUUUGCUUUCAUGAUUUGGGGGGCUACAUUGUUUUAAGCUCUAGGCUAAGAUAAAAUGAGAACUCUGAUAGGACAAUAACACCUAACAAAAGUUUUUAAAAACAACCAGUUCUUCAAAUUUACUUAGAAAUGAUAGAAGAGAUUUGUGUAUUUAAAUAAAUAUUGGGAUAUCAUACAGUUUAAAAAAUUAAGGGAACACUAUUUGUGUUAGUGAUCAAUAAAGGAACUCAACAAAGGCCAAUACCUCAACUUUUAAACUUUUUAACAUUUUUAAAAACUAAAAUAAAAUCCCCAUUUUAUUUUUGAAGCCCUUUUUUCUUAUCAGUAAUUUCAUGAAUUUAUACAUAAAUAUGUGUGUUAUUAACCAUGUUACCACAAAGCCAAGUAAAUUUGUAUGAAAGCAAACUUUAGUAUAGUGUCUUUUAUGGAUAAAGUUAAAUCAGAUGUCCUUAUUAACAUUCUUCAUACACAGGUAGUGUCUCAUGGAAUUAAGAGCUCAAAGCUCAUGUUAUAAAUAAUAACUUUAUUGUUGAUGUAAGUUUCUGGAUUUUAUUAUACUGUAAUUUCUCCACUCAAUUUUGAAGUAGUAGGACUUUCCUCCUAUCAUCCUUUCUGGGAGACAUAAAGUAACAAAGGAAUAGCAUAUGUUAACCAAAUGCAAAAUGUAAUAGAUGUGUUCAUAAUACACUUUACAUCUGCUCCAUUGACCUGAACAUUUCCUGGGAAGACGUCUCCCCUUGCCUACAUGAUACUACUGUCCUGGAAAGGACCUUUCCUUUUGAUGAAGCAUCUCAACUUGGGUGUCUUAUUUGCCAGUGUACUAUCAGCUCCACAGGUCUGUGUAAUCAGGUUUCCAUGGAGCCCUGCAUUGGAGAAAGAGAAAAGGCAACACAAAAAAACGCCUCAUUUCAGGUCUGGUGGAAGUCAGAUUCAGGACUGGCGAAAUGAAUCAAGAAACAGCAUAUUGCUGUGGUUUGGGUGAGAGCUUAUAAAAAAACGAAAGUCACUUUCUAAACUGUAAAAUGAAAAAAUGGCAGUUGUUUUUCCCUCUUAUAUUGGUGUGUUAUGUUCUGUAUAUGUAAAAAAAGUAAUAAUAAUAUUUCAUUAUUAAUUUUUUUAA